rnacentral:lncRNA from 1 species
AUGCGUAUCUGUGGGCAUAUCUGUGUAUUUGUGGGUGUAUGCGUAUCUGUGGGCAUAUCUGUGUAUUUGUGGGUGUAUGCGUAUCUGUGGGCAUAUCUGUGUAUUUGUGGGUGUAUGCUGGUAUAUGUGGGCACAUCUGUGCGUUUGCGGGUGUAUGUGGGCAUAUCUGUGUAUUUAUGGGCCAAAUGUGUAUUUGUGGAUGUAUGCGGGUGUAUGUGGGCACAUCUGUGUGUUUGCGGGUGUAUGUGGGCAUAUCUGUGUAUUUAUGGGCCAAAUGUGUAUUUGUGGAUGUAUGCGGGUGUAUGUGGGCACAUCUGUGUGUUUGCGGGUGUAUGUGGGCAUAUCUGUGUAUUUAUGGGCCAAAUGUGUAUUUGUGGAUGUAUGCGGGUGUAUGUGGGCACAUCUGUGUGUUUGCGGGUGUAUGUGGGCAUAUCUGUGUAUUUAUGGGCCAAAUGUGUAUUUGUGGAUGUAUGCGGGUGUAUGUGGGCACAUCUGUGUGUUUGCGGGUGUAUGUGGGCAUAUCUGUGUAUUUAUGGGCCAAAUGUGUAUUUGUGGAUGUAUGCGGGUGUAUGUGGGCACAUCUGUGUGUUUGCGGGUGUAUGUGGGCAUAUCUGUGUAUUUAUGGGCCAAAUGUGUAUUUGUGGAUGUAUGCGGGUGUAUGUGGGCACAUCUGUGUGUUUGCGGGUGUAUGUGGGCAUAUCUGUGUAUUUAUGGGCCAAAUGUGUAUUUGUGGGUGUAUGCGGGUGUAUGUGGGCACAUCUGUAUGUCUGUGGGCAUAUAUGUGUAUUUGUGGGUGUAUGCAGGUGUAUGUGGGCAUAUCUGUGUGUUUGUGGGUGUUUGUUGGCAUAUGUAUGUGUUUGUGGGUUUAUGCGUGUGUUUGCGGGUAUAUGCAGGUGUCUGUGGGCAUACCUGUGUGUUUGUGGGUGUAUGUUGUUUGUGGUUAUAUCUGUGUGUUUGCGGGUGUAUGCGUGUAUUUGUGCAUAUUUGCUGGCACAUGUGUGUUUGUGUGUGUAUAUGUGUGUUUGUGGGCAUAUCUGUGUGUUAGCGGGCGUAUACUUGUGUUUGUGGGUGUACAUAUUUGUGGGUGUAUGCGAGUGUUUGCAGGUGAAUCCGUGUGUUUGUGGAGGUAUGCAUGUUUUGUGGGCGUAUGGUGUGUUUGUGGCCAUAUCUACCCGUGAAUGGCACAGGAAGCCGGCGUACAGCAGCAGGGCGGCGGGCAGCAGAAUGAGGCUGAAGAUCAGGACCAUCAGCACCACGCACCCCAGCAGCAGCAGGACGUUCCACAGCAGCAGCAGCAGUGUCCACAGCACACACCCGCAGUGGCCCCGCCGGGCCCCCCAGACCCCGCCGUCACACUGA